GAGUGCUUGCACUCAAUUGGAAAGAGGAGUGGCGGACGGGUGAGUAACACGUGGGUAACCUACCCAUCAGAGGGGGAUAACACUUGGAAACAGGUGCUAAUACCGCAUAACAGUUUAUGCCGCAUGGCAUAAGAGUGAAAGGCGCUUUCGGGUGUCGCUGAUGGAUGGACCCGCGGUGCAUUAGCUAGUUGGUGAGGUAACGGCUCACCAAGGCCACGAUGCAUAGCCGACCUGAGAGGGUGAUCGGCCACACUGGGACUGAGACACGGCCCAGACUCCUACGGGAGGCAGCAGUAGGGAAUCUUCGGCAAUGGACGAAAGUCUGACCGAGCAACGCCGCGUGAGUGAAGAAGGUUUUCGGAUCGUAAAACUCUGUUGUUAGAGAAGAACAAGGACGUUAGUAACUGAACGUCCCCUGACGGUAUCUAACCAGAAAGCCACGGCUAACUACGUGCCAGCAGCCGCGGUAAUACGUAGGUGGCAAGCGUUGUCCGGAUUUAUUGGGCGUAAAGCGAGCGCAGGCGGUUUCUUAAGUCUGAUGUGAAAGCCCCCGGCUCAACCGGGGAGGGUCAUUGGAAACUGGGAGACUUGAGUGCAGAAGAGGAGAGUGGGAAUUCCAUGGGUUAAGCGGU
rnacentral:rRNA from 1 species